CUCCAACAAGCAAACCACAUCUCUACAGAAUUAACAUAUAUCUCUUUCCACAACUGUGUCUUUUAUCAUCCGCCGUUUCUGCAAUUUUUUUUCUUCUCCUCCGUAAAGUGUGAAGGAGCAGAGAAAGCCGUGAUUUGUUUCAAUACCUUCUGCUUGUGCAAUUUUUGCUUCUUUCUAAAGGGGAACUUGGGCACGUUGUUGCGGUUGGAACAAGAAAGUGUCGAUGAGUUAAGCAUUUGAGGUUGAGCUGUGACGAGCACGGUGGGUGUUGAGCAGAGCUGGUAAAGAUUUGUGUUUGCUUUUAAUAUUCCGAAUAUAUUGUGUCUUCAUACAUAAUAUUAUUCUUCUCUCGAAAUGCUUCCGCUAAAUAUUGUUUCUUUUGAGUUCGUGUAUUGUUGAGAUAUUUUCAUUUGGAGUUGUCGAUUGU